AAAUUGAAGAGUUUGAUCAUGGCUCAGAUUGAACGCUGGCGGCAGGCCUAACACAUGCAAGUCGAACGGUAACAGGAAGCAGCUUGCUGCUUCGCUGACGAGUGGCGGACGGGUGAGUAAUGUCUGGGAAACUGCCUGAUGGAGGGGGAUAACUACUGGAAACGGUGGCUAAUACCGCAUAACGUCGCAAGACCAAAGAGGGGGACCUUCGGGCCUCUUGCCAUCAGAUGUGCCCAGAUGGGAUUAGCUUGUUGGUGAGGUAACGGCUCACCAAGGCGACGAUCCCUAGCUGGUCUGAGAGGAUGACCAGCCACACUGGAACUGAGACACGGUCCAGACUCCUACGGGAGGCAGCAGUGGGGAAUAUUGCACAAUGGGCGCAAGCCUGAUGCAGCCAUGCCGCGUGUAUGAAGAAGGCCUUCGGGUUGUAAAGUACUUUCAGCGGGGAGGAAGGUGUUGUGGUUAAUAACCGCAGCAAUUGACGUUACCCGCAGAAGAAGCACCGGCUAACUCCGUGCCAGCAGCCGCGGUAAUACGGAGGGUGCAAGCGUUAAUCGGAAUUACUGGGCGUAAAGCGCACGCAGGCGGUCUGUCAAGUCGGAUGUGAAAUCCCCGGGCUCAACCUGGGAACUGCAUUCGAAACUGGCAGGCUUGAGUCUUGUAGAGGGGGGUAGAAUUCCAGGUGUAGCGGUGAAAUGCGUAGAGAUCUGGAGGAAUACCGGUGGCGAAGGCGGCCCCCUGGACAAAGACUGACGCUCAGGUGCGAAAGCGUGGGGAGCAAACAGGAUUAGAUACCCUGGUAGUCCACGCCGUAAACGAUGUCUACUUGGAGGUUGUGCCCUUGAGGCGUGGCUUCCGGAGCUAACGCGUUAAGUAGACCGCCUGGGGAGUACGGCCGCAAGGUUAAAACUCAAAUGAAUUGACGGGGGCCCGCACAAGCGGUGGAGCAUGUGGUUUAAUUCGAUGCAACGCGAAGAACCUUACCUGGUCUUGACAUCCACGGAAGUUUUCAGAGAUGAGAAUGUGCCUUCGGGAACCGUGAGACAGGUGCUGCAUGGCUGUCGUCAGCUCGUGUUGUGAAAUGUUGGGUUAAGUCCCGCAACGAGCGCAACCCUUAUCCUUUGUUGCCAGCGAUUAGGUCGGGAACUCAAAGGAGACUGCCAGUGAUAAACUGGAGGAAGGUGGGGAUGACGUCAAGUCAUCAUGGCCCUUACGACCAGGGCUACACACGUGCUACAAUGGCGCAUACAAAGAGAAGCGACCUCGCGAGAGCAAGCGGACCUCAUAAAGUGCGUCGUAGUCCGGAUUGGAGUCUGCAACUCGACUCCAUGAAGUCGGAAUCGCUAGUAAUCGUGGAUCAGAAUGCCACGGUGAAUACGUUCCCGGGCCUUGUACACACCGCCCGUCACACCAUGGGAGUGGGUUGCAAAAGAAGUAGGUAGCUUAACCUUCGGGAGGGCGCUUACCACUUUGUGAUUCAUGACUGGGGUGAAGUCGUAACAAGGUAACCGUAGGGGAACCUGCGGUUGGAUCACCUCCUUACCUUAAAGAAGC
rnacentral:rRNA from 15 species